UGAGGCGAGGAGGCCCUCAGGAGAGCUGGCGGAUGGCUGAUCCGUCCCGAUGGGAUGAGAGCUGGGGCUACGGAAUGGAAGCCAAAGGCUCUGAACCAACUGUACCGUGGGGCCAGACGCUGUUUUCAAAUAAACAAGGUCCUUUCUCUCGGGCAGAUCUAUCGCCAUGCUGAGGGAUCCACAGUGAGUGACACCCUCCCUUGCUCUUAUCAGGAGAAAGAAACCACCACAAUAUAGAGAAUGAUUCUCACAGGCACUACCGGUGACUCACCCCAGCAGCUCUGGAGGAGCCAAGUAAGUCUAUGCAGCCAAAUCAGGAUCAGGCCAUUGCCUCAGAACAGGGUAUGCCUUAACGAGAAGAGCAGUUGAGCUCUCUCAUUUGUUGGAACAAAUCUGGUUAUGGAACCAAAUUCAUUUGCCCGACACACAGCGAGCCAAAUGCUGAGAUGCGGAGGUUCACAGCAGAGAGAGGGUUUGCUCACGAGGCAGUCGAGCAAGUCUCAGAUCUGCCUCCUCAAAGGUGAGGGCUUGGGAUAUUUAUGGGAUACAGAAGCACAGUGGUCUGAGCCUUAGGGAAAGGGGACUGGCGGGAAGAAAAAGGUGAAGUCAUUAGUGCUCUGUGCAGGUGUAUCUGAGUCACAUGUUUCCUCACGGGACACGUGUUCAGAAAGUGGCAGCAUUAGCAUGAUCUGAGGGUGGAGUUUUAGCCCUCUGACAUCAAAACGUCAUCAUUGGACAUUUUCACAGGCCCAGUUGCAGGGUCAGUGGUCCUAACCAGUCUUAGCCGGCUGGAACUUGAGCUGGACAAGAGCGGACUCCAAGUUCCUGAAAAACAACUUAAGCAAUGGUUACUAAAGUGACCCAUACGUCAGAGGUGUUAUGUAUAGGGGGUAGUUAAAGGAGUCUUGUGACAUAUUGUCUAAGCUACGUGAAGCUUGGAGGGUAUGCAAUUUGCAGGAACAAUUAACUUGAGCCUAGUCAGUGAAGGCUGGCCACAGGAUAUUAUUUAUUAAACAAGUUAUAGUUUAAGGGAUCUAACUGAUGACUACCCUCGGUUUCAGGAUUCAAAAAAGCCUCUCUAUCUCUGCUGAGCUAAGACUCAGUCUUGAUUAUCCUGGAUCUUCCCAACCCACUCUGUUAACUCUUUUUCUUAUUUCAUGGUCCUAUGAAAAGCCCCCAGUUUCCACCCUUAUCCCCUGCAUUAGCAGGUAACCCUCUAGUUCCAGGUACAUGAGUUAUUGAAUACCUUCCACGGCCCCAGCCUGCCCUGACGUGUCCUAACAAGGCUGUGUAUCUCACAGCCUUUACAGACUUAGACCUCCACACAUCCCAGCUUCCCGCCAAUCUGGGUCCCCUGAAGACUUCUGAAGAAGUAAGAAUGAAGAGUUUUACUACAGAAUACAGAGGAGAGGAACAUGAAAAUAUCUAAUUCUAACAAAAUUUAAAGAGCAAGCAAAUGAUCCAUCCAUUCAUUUAUUCACUCCUUCACUUAUUCAUUCUGCUCUAUGUCAUAUCCAUGCCAGGCCCUGAGAGAGCAAAGGUGCCCAGGAACUCAAUUCCAGUAAGGGAGACAGACAGACUUUGGGUUCAACCAUGUGGUAAGUGCCCCUGUAGAGGGAGGAGCACCAUGUUCCCAGUAGGGAGAAGAAGGAAUUCUGUCUAAAAAGGUACAUUUAAGGAGAUCUCUUUUUAGAAAGCAGGAAAAACAUAGGCAUGUUAUAAGUGUAUGAUGCGAAAGGGAGGGGUGAAAUUAUACAUACAAUCUUUUUAUUCUUCUCAAAAAUUUUCCUACAUGUCCACAUGCAUUACUUUGUAAUUAAGAAAAAAAGCAUUGUUUAGAAAUUAAGAUUAAGGUCAACCCUUAAUCACCAUUAAUGCCAUGGGGAGAGGCUGGGUCUUGGUUUCCUGCUCUAUUAUGUCUUUACAUUCCUCAAUAGUCAUUCAUUUAUUUAUCCUUUCCUUUAUCACCCAUUUUCUGUCAUUUCCUUUCAUGUCUAUGGCUAAUUUGGUUAAUAUUUGCUGAGUAUUCAUGUGUUCUCUACUUCCCAGAUUCUCUCAGAGUUGGACUGGGGCAAGAUGACUGUGAAUAGAAAUAACAUGUCAUGUCCGAAGUGAGUCACUUAAAAGCCAGAGUGCCUUCCCCUUCUCUUUCUUACCCAGCAGACUUGGAAGCCAUGUGUACAGAGAACAUACCAUGAAGUGACAAGAACCUGGAUUCCUGGGUUUCUGGGAAAAGAAGAGUCACCUCCAACUGACUUUGGACUAGGUGUAUGGGAGAAACAAGCUUUCACUCUGUGGAGCCCUGUGACUUGGGGAUUCAGUUGUUACCACAGCAUUUUCUAGCCUAACCUGACUAAUUUGAAUGAGUCUAUCUCCACUGCCUUCAGAAUAUAAAGUAUAUUUCUGUAAAAAUUUUGUAAGGCUAAUAUCUUAAUAAGAUAUAAAAUUCUUCUUUCACCCUUUCCUUCUUACUGCAUUUGGUUUGCUCCUUUUCUAUUUAAAUGGGUUUGAGUUUGUUGUUCUCAUCAAGUCAAUCAGUCAACCAAGAUGCAGAUGUUAAUUUACUUGUGCAAAAUGUGCCCACAAAUACAUGUACCCCACCCUGAACUGCUGCCCCAAGUAAAACCUAACAAAGAUCUUUUAGGUCAAUUCCCUCUGUCCACAUGAACCCGGGGUCCUUGUAUGCUGUGGAGUACCCCAUUCCUCAGCCCCACCCAAGUGAGAAGUCUCCUGGGUGAAGACUAUAGAACGCAGUUCAGCCCCAGGAUACACUCCUGCAAGGAGGAUUGCCCAAGUAUGACAGAUCAGAGAUGGUAGGUGACAAG